AAGCCGUAACAAGGUUUCCGUAGGUGAACCUGCGGAAGGAUCAUUAACACGUCUUGCAUCCUAGGAACAGCAAUCCUGGUAAAUCAGUCGCGAAGAUACAGGACCUCUGCCCAAAAGAUGUGAUUGAGCGCUCGAGGCAAGUGGCCUAGCUUCCCCAAGCGGAUUGUGCAAGGAUAACGCUUCACGGAUGCUGUAGGCCGAUCACCGGCCGGCGUCGUGGUCACCGGGCUCACGCCCCUUCGAAACAACCAGUAGUUAGCGUAUGUCUCCUCGACACAGCAAGUGCGCCGUCGUAGGAGAAAAACGAACAACUGAUAUCUUGGUUCUC
rnacentral:misc_RNA from 1 species